AUUCACGGAGAGUUUGAUCCUGGCUCAGGACGAACGCUGGCGGCGUGCUUAACACAUGCAAGUCGAACGAUGAACCACUUCGGUGGGGAUUAGU
rnacentral:rRNA from 1 species